rnacentral:rRNA from 1 species
UACGGAGGGGGUUAGCGUUGUUCGGAAUUACUGGGCGUAAAGCGCACGUAGGCGGAUCAGAAAGUUGGGGGUGAAAUCCCGGGGCUCAACCCCGGAACUGCCUCCAAAACUCCUGGUCUUGAGUUCGAGAGAGGUGAGUGGAAUUCCGAGUGUAGAGGUGAAAUUCGUAGAUAUUCGGAGGAACACCAGUGGCGAAGGCGGCACUCUGGCCAUCAGACGAG